rnacentral:sRNA from 1 species
GUGAGUCGGAGCUCUAUGGAGGUGGCAGCGGGUACCGAGUGGCGGCUGCAGCAGCGACUCCUCUGAGCUGAGUUUCAGGCCGUCCCCGACUCCUUCCUCCCCCUUCCCUCCCCCUUUUUUUUGUUUUCCGUUCCCCUUUCCCCUCCCUUCCCUAUCCCCGACGACCGGAUCCUGAGGAGGCAGCUGCGGUGGCAGCUGCUGAGUUCUCGGUGAAGGUAUUUCAUUUCUCCUGUCCCCUCCCCUCCCCACCCCAUCUAUUAAUAUUAUUCUUUUGAAGAUUCUUCGUUGUCAAGCCGCCAAAGUGGAGAGUGCGAUUGCAGAAGGGGGUGCUUCUCGUUUCAGGUACUUGUAGAUUUAUUUGGGGGAAUCCUUUUGAAAAGGCCAGUCUCAAAAAGUAGUUACCACAGCAAAUAAGUCCGACUUAAUGGGCUGCAAUUUUCAUUUGAAAAGUUCUUAAGUUUUCUUUGACAGCCUUCUAAGAACUGCCAUCUGAAGAAUAAAUAAAAUCAAUUAUUUGCCUUUC